CUACGGGGCGCAGCAGUGGGGAAUAUUGGACAAUGGGGGAAACCCUGAUCCAGCAAUGCCGCGUGUGUGAAGAAGGCCUGCGGGUUGUAAAGCACUUUCGGUUGGGAGGACUGCUUCUAGCACUAAUAUUGUUGGAAGUUGACGUUACCUUCAGAAGAAGCACCGGCUAACUCCGUGCCAGCAGCCGCGGUAAUACGGAGGGGUGCAAGCGUUAAUCGGAAUUACUGGGCGUAAAGCGCGCGUAGGCGGCUAGAUCAGUCGGGUGUGAAAGCCCCGGGCUUAACCUGGGAACUGCAUCCGAUACUGGCUAGCUUGAGUACAGGAGAGGGGAGUGGAAUUCCACAUGUAGCGGUGAAAUGCGUAGAUGUGUGGAGGAACACCAAUGGCGAAGGCAGCUCUCUGGCCUGAUACUGACGCUGAGGUGCGAAAGCGUGGGGAGCAAACAGGAUUAGAUACCCGAGUAGUC
rnacentral:rRNA from 1 species